rnacentral:rRNA from 1 species
GAUGAACGCUGGCGGCGUGCCUAAUACAUGCAAGUCGAGCGAACGGACGAGAAGCUUGCUUCUCUGAUGUUAGCGGCGGACGGGUGAGUAACACGUGGAUAACCUACCUAUAAGACUGGGAUAACUUCGGGAAACCGGAGCUAAUACCGGAUAAUAUUUUGAACCGCAUGGUUCAAAAGUGAAAGACAGUCUUGCUGUCACUUAUAGAUGGAUCCGCGCUGCAUUAGCUAGUUGGUAAGGUAACGGCUUACCAAGGCAACGAUGCAUAGCCGACCUGAGAGGGUGAUCGGCCACACUGGAACUGAGACACGGUCCAGACUCCUACGGGAGGCAGCAGUAGGGAAUCUUCCGCAAUGGGCGAAAGCCUGACGGAGCAACGCCGCGUGAGUGAUGAAGGUCUUCGGAUCGUAAAACUCUGUUAUUAGGGAAGAACAUAUGUGUAAGUAACUGUGCACAUCUUGACAGUACCUAAUCAGAAAGCCACGGCUAACUACGUG